rnacentral:rRNA from 1 species
AGUGAACGCUGGCGGCGUGCUUAACACAUGCAAGUCGAACGAGAACGGGUUAUAGCUUGCUAUAAUUGUCAGCUAAGUGGCGCACGGGUGAGUAAUGUAUAGGUAAUAUGCCUCUUACUAAGGGAUAACAAAUGGAAACGUUUGCUAAUACCUUAUGCUCCUUAUUAACAUAAGUUAAUAAGGGAAAGAUUUAUUGGUAAGAGAUUAGCCUGUAUUGUAUCAGUUAGUUGGUGGGGUAAUGGCUUACCAAGACUAUGACACAUAACUGGUUUGAGAGGAUGAUCAGUCACACUGGAACUGAGACACGGUCCAGACUCCUACGGGAGGCAGCAGUGGGGAAUAUUGCACAAUGGACGAAAGUCUGAUGCAGCAACGCCGCGUGGAGGAUGACACACUUCGGUGCGUAAACUCCUUUUAUAUGAGAAGAUAAUGACGGUAUUAUAUGAAUAAGCACCGGCUAACUCCGUGCCAGCAGCCGCAGUAA